UACGAAGGGGGGCUAGCGUUGCUCGGAAUCACUGGGCGUAAAGCGCACGUAGGCGGAUCUUUAAGUCAGAGGUGAAAUCCCAAGGCUCAACCUUGGAACUGCCUUUGAUACUGGGGAUCUCGAGUCCGGAAGAGGUUGGUGGAACUGCGAGUGUAGAGGUGAAAUUCGUAGAUAUUCGCAAGAACACCAGUGGCGAAGGCGGCCAACUGGUCCGGUACUGACGCUGAGGUGCGAAAGCGUGGGGGAGCAAACAGGG
rnacentral:rRNA from 1 species